rnacentral:tRNA from 1 species
UGGUGUAGCUCAAUUGGCAGAGCAUCUGAUUUGUAAUCAGAAGGUUGCGGGUUCAAGUCCCAUCGCC